GCGUAAAGAGCCGAGUAACAACGACGCAAGUACAAGUGCUAUAACCUGCUUUGUUGAUGCCCGCAAAUAUUUUAUUUAACAACUUUUUUGAUACUAUUUUAAUGAUUAAACAUGAGUUUUCAAGAAUAUUAUAAUGCUUACGUUAAAAGACACAUCUACAAGACAAAGAAAUGCUGUCAAGAAGAAGUGGUAAAGUUAUGGAACACAGCAAAACAAAAGUAUCCAAAGAAAGAAGAUUUGGUGAAACAUAUUCAGCAUGAGAUUGAUCAGCAGCGGAAAAAAAGGUCUCUCUCUCUAAGGGAAACACUCGGAGCUCUAAUAAUGUUUCAACACAAGUUGAUACAAGCGCUCAAGGUAUGUCAAACUUAGAAUGCGCGAGUUAAACUGAAAUUAACAUCAAGAUUAUUCAAAAUGAGGAAUCAGUGACUCGAAAUGAGAUUUCUCACUGUAAUCAGCGGCUCAUGGAUCAAGAUUACGAUAAUGAACCUCAACUGGCAGGUGCUACAAAACGGAAAAUUCAGCGACGAUCUGAGAUGAGAAGUUGCGGCAAGAAAUUGAUAAUUUUGAAAAACAGCUCAAACCUAAGGAGAACCAAAGAGUAUACUCGAUGAAGCAUAGAAAAAAUAAAAAUUAUCGAAUUGUGUUCUAAAAAUCCUGGAGCAGCAAAAUCGUUGAUACCUCGAGCAAGCUCUAGACGUCCGCGCUUGGAGGAAGAGCAGUCUGAAACGGAGUCGCUGUGAAAUUGUUCCUAGUGUCCAUAGUCUUUUAGAGCUGCUCACUGAAAAACUUAUCGAGCUGGGAUUUAAUAUUUCUCGAAGCGCCGCUUACAUUCGACUGUUGCCUAGACGGGCAGAUACGCGGUAGGCUAAGCACCACGUAGUGACUGUAACGGUGAAGUUGAGUCGUCCUGAAGCAGACCAUCAUAAAGCGCACCAAGACCAAUACUUUUCUGUAGCUUCCAUAAGGUCACUAGAAACUGUAGCCUCAAUACUUGGCCCUGAUUCUAUGUCUUUUUUAUCCCAAGAUGACAAAGUAUGGGUCCCCAUAGGAUUGACAACAGCAAACAAACAGGCGCCUUUGCUAAUGCACGUUGAGUAUAAAGUGUCGUUACCAGAUCGCGACUUUAUAAUUACUGCAAGACAUAAAUUGAUCCCGAGUGUCUAUGCUUUGUGUGAAGUAAAACCGAAUGAGAUGGGGCGGCCAGAAGCCGUCUCAUAUAGUGGACCAACAUAUAUAGCAAUCCGAAGUGGUAAGCACUCGUCUUCGACUGCAACUAGUCACGCUGAAGACUUGGACACUCUUUUAACUCUUCAGCCUUUUGGUAAAUUAAUGAAAAACGAAGCCUGUCCUUAUUAUUUCGAACGAUGGCGGUCCCGAUGAGAACCCGCGAUAUCGGAAAGUAAUUGUACAUUCUAUACAGCAUUUUAAAAAAUAUGAAUUUGACAGAAUAUUCAUUGGGACUAAUGCCCCGGCAGAAGUGCUUUCAAUAGAGUAGAGAGACGCAUGGCUCCACUUAGCCGAGAACUAUCAGGUGUUGUUCUUCCCCAUGACUGUUUUGAGACACAUCUUGACUCCACGGUAAAACAAUCUGCAAUCCGCGUCGGAGUUCUUUACAUGAUCUUUUUUUAUUACCUCCAUAUCCCAUUCAAGUUAAUGGAGAUCCGGCGAUUCCGGAUCCUGAACAGCAUGAUGGAAAAACAUUUGCAACAUUCUUCAUUCGCCACUGCCUACCUAUUCAACCAUUACACACCUUCACAAGCAUGCCUUAUGAUGACCUCUAUUGUCCAAGUUUACGUCACGAUAUAGAAAAGAGAUGCUGCAAUACAUGUGGUAUCUAUUUCGCAUCCAUCAUCAUGCACGAGAUGUGCAAACACUUAAAUUGCGACCAUCGCGUAUUGUUUCAAGACAAGCGACUGUGUGCAAGCGACAACGGUUUGGAGUGGCUCAAUCAGAACGAAGUUGAAGGAGCAGAUGAUUUCAUUGAAAAUUAUUUGAAUACGUUGGUUCUAGUAGACACUCUUGAGAGUACACGAGUCUCCAUGGACUGAAUUAGAAUAAUCUCUUAUUAAUUUACGUUGAAGUAUUUAUUAUUUAAUUUCAUCACAGUGAUUUUAAACUAAGGCAAUAUUCUCAAAUCACAAUUGUAUACUAGUCUUUAAUAAAAGUGAUAGAGCAAA